UACGUAGGGUGCUAGCGUUGUUCGGAAUCAUUGGGCGUAAAGCGCGUGUAGGUUGUUUGGUAAGUCGAGUGUGAAAUCCCUGGGCUCAACCGAGGAAGUGCAUUCGAAACUGCCUGGCUAGAAGACGGUAGAGGAAGGUGGAAUUCCUAGUGUAGAGGUGAAAUUCGUAGAUAUUAGGAGGAAUACCGGUGGCGAAGGCGGCCUUCUGGACCGAUCUUGACACUGAGACGCGAAAGCGUGGGGAGCAAACAGG
rnacentral:rRNA from 1 species